UUUACAAUAUAAUUUAGUUAAACAAGACGUUUACAAACAGCGUGAUGGUGUAUGCAGCUGAGCUGUAGGUUGCUUCAAAUGUUACGGGUGGCAUGGUAGCGCAGUAGUUAGCACAACGCUUUACAGUAUGGGUUCAAUUCCCACCACAGUCUGUAAGUGGUUAGCACAACACUUUACAGUACAGGUUUUCCCCACUAUCUGAAGGCAGAGUGUUCCUAUGAAACCGUUUGUAAGCCGAAAUGUCGUAAAGUGACGAAGCAAUUGCCAUUAAUUUAUAUAGGAAAAAUUUUUGAGCGUUCCCAGACCCAAAAAAUAACCUACCGAAUUAAAGCAAAUAACACAUAAAACCUAAAAUAACACAAAUGUAUAGUAAAAGCAGGAAUGACAUGAUAAAUAGAGACUCCAUAUAAAGUAGAAAUAUUGUAUGUACAGUGUAGUUUUACUUAUCAGAAUGGGGAAGGCAGCAAGCCAAAAUCGAUUUGGAGAAAAAAUAUCAGCACGUACACGAAUGCGCACGUACACACUCAAACGCACGUACACGCAUACGCACACAACUGCCCACACAAGGCUUCAUGAUCAUGGUAGUCUUUCUCGGGGUAAACACACGUAUAAAGCGGGCGUCUUUUGUUCGUAAAAGCGAAAAUCCUCUUUGGUUAGCGAAAACAGGUACUAAUGUAGGUUCUUUCGUAACAGCGAGCUGUCGUAAAAUGGACGUUCGAAAAAUGGGGGCCACCUGUAUGGGGUUCAAUUCCCACCACAGUCGGUAAGUGGUUAGCAUAACGUUUUACAGUACCAAGGACCCUGGUUUGUUUCCCGCCACGGUCUGUACGGAGUUUGUAUGUACUUCCCGUGACCAUUUGGGUUCCCUCCGGUACUCUGGUUUCCUCCCACAUUCCAAAGACCUACUGGUUGGAGGGUUAAUUGGUCUUUGUAAAUUGUCCCAUGAUUAAACUGGCAGAUUGCUGGGUGGCAUGGCUCAAAGGGCUGUAUUUCAAGAAAUAAAUAAACACUGUCAAGAAGUUUAUUUUGCUGUUUAUACAAGUGUUAGAGACCAUUAAGAACCAGAGGUCCGCAUUCAUUAUUCUGCAAUUAGGUAAUUUCAACAAGAUGGGACUCUUAAAGUGCAGUUGAAAUUGUGUUAGAAAAACAUCAACAACAAAGUUAGGUUCAUCCACUCAUGUGUUGCCAGCUUACACAUGCUCGUUUUCAUUCAGAAUUUUUCUAUUUCACAAUUCCUAGAACUAACCUGUUUCUGAAGGUUUAACAAAGUAACAGCUUUGCAAUUGUAUUUACUGACAUCUUACUUGAAGUGAGCAUUCCUAUACUUUCCUCACAGUCCACAUUUUGCACUCAUUACUUCUCUGAUUAUUCAUUCACAAACAUGCGCAAUGCUAUGAAGGACAUUAUAUAAUGGCCAUCUUUGAACGUCCUUAUUAAAAUGCUGCAUACCACCUUCUUAGUUCUCAAGUGUCCUUCUGGGCAAGUUGGGUCUUGUUUCUCAUGCCUACUGAGUUCACUGGAAAAUUUAUAUUAGUGUGCAACAUUUGACAAAAGUGAAUUAAAUGCAUGCUGGGGUAUUCCAACAAUCAAAAAACUUUGUCAGUCUGGAAACUCCUGUGCCAGUUUAUCGGAGUUGUAGAUUAUUUGGCACAUUCAUAGUCAUAGCUACCAUUUAAAAAAAUCUAAGCAGUUGAUGUCAGUCUUCCUGCUGAUGUGGUGGGAUCUGAACCAGGUGCCCAGCUCAUUAGUGCAGGUCACUGAACUGUUUAUCCAUUAUCUGUCAUUAACUUUCUUCUGCAUGACUGUGCUCUAAUAAAACCUGCCAGCACUUGACUAGGCUGAUAUGGCAAAGCAAGAAGGGACGAAUUUUUCCAAUCUGCCUCACAGUCACGUGGUAUCAUGACCGACAUCUUGAAAUUGCGUUAAGAGCAAAGAGAACUAUUCUGCUAUUAGGAUUCUUUUGGUAUCCUAGUCAUUUUAAUUUGUAAUAAAAAGAACUGAUCUCUCUCACUGUUUCAAGAACCAUGCAACAUAUUUCUGGAAAAUUACAAGUUCACAGCUAAAGUAAGACUGGCUGGGGUCCUGUCAGAGUCCAUGAUCUACAGCUGCACUCAAACUACGGUUCGUCGUAGUGGUAGGUUCUCGCUCUCGGAGGCCGCCGAGCGACCUAGCAUUUCCAAUAUCUCCAGGAGCGGCCAGGAAGAGAUAUGCCUUUGGGGUGCAGCCCCGUGGCUGACCCGAUUCCUUGUCAGUGUCGCCAUCUGAAGCAUCACCAGAGAUUGAAGCAGUGAAUGCUGCAGGUUAUAACAUCGAAACAGCAUUAGUGAGAGAGAAUGCCUGUGGCAUGUUGAACUGUUGGGUGAACAGUGUUUAUUGAUGGACUCUUGAUGAGGGUCUCUGGGGGCUUUGCUGUUGCUUGCAUGGUGGGUGGUAGAUGGUCGAUGCUUUUGCUGAAGCAAGUGUGGGGAGGGUUGAUGCUCUUGUUGCUGCCUGUGCAUGGGGGGUGCUUUGGGGAUUUAACCUUCUCUGUCAUUCAUUCUUUCAGAUUUUUCAUCUGUUUCAUGGAUGUCUGCAAAGAGUAAGAAUUUCAGGUUUUAUACUGAUAUAAAAUUGAACCAUUGAGCUAUUGAUCUGUCAUUCAUUCCUUUGGAUUUUUCAUCUGUUUCCUGGAUGUCUGCAAAGAGUAAGAAUUUCAGGCUUCUCUGAUAUUAAAUAGAACCAUUAAACCAUUUGUGUUCUUUAUAUUCAUACAUACCGUGGGUUACUAAUAAAGAACCAUCUUCUCUGUCUCAAAUAGAACUUUCAUUUAACAACCACUACUUUUUUACAAUACCAUGUUUCUCGAUCUUUCUAUCAUCCCUGCACAUGCUCAGAACUCUCUCCAAUCACAUUCUUACAUGUCAUAUCACCACAUCUUCCUUUCCUUAAAAAGAAAAACAAUUAGCAAUGUUAACCAGAGCAAAUGCAUAAUUUAACAUGUCUCUAUCAGUCUCUCUGGGGGUUUACGAACAUGAGUCGACCUUCUAAGUGGUUCACACAGUUCUUGAGUUUCGUUGUUAUUUCCAUGUUUUGUCUGGUCUGCAACAGUGGAGUUAGCUCUUUCUUGAGGUCUUUGCAAUUUCUUCUUAACACUGCUCUUUCUUCUGUUUGGACCAUGUCUGAUCUGGGUUGUACUUCUCCAAGUACUGUAGCUUUCUGUGUCCAUGUGUUCAUUCUGUCUUGUAUCCUUACCUCAUCUCCCUGGUGCAGUUCAGGGAAUGGACGAGAACGUCUGUCAAAAUAUGUUUUCUGCUUUGCUUUGUGUUCAUCUUUCCAUCUUUUCACUUGUUCACCUCCCUCUGUUCUCUGAAGGCUCUCAUCUCAAAUGGUGUCCCAUCAGGAGCUGAGCAGGUGAAAGUCCACAUUCAAGUGGAGUACUAUGGUAGGCUAACAAAGCUUUAUAAAAAUCACUUCCACUAUCUUUUGCUUUAUGCAUCAGUUUCUUGAUAAUUCCUACCGAUUUCUCAACCAAUCCAUUGGACUGAGGGAAAAAUGGACUAGAUGUUGUAUGAAUAAAGCCCCAUUCAUGAGCAAAAUGUCUCAUACAUUCACCAUUGAAUUGUGGACCAUUGCCUGUGAAAACUUCAUCAGGUACACCAUGUCUGAAAAAAACUGAUUUCAUGCAUGUAAUUACAUUUUCUGUUGUUCUGCCCAAACCACACACUUCAGGAUACAAUGAGUAGUAAUCUGUUAUUAAUAGAUAAUCUUUGUUGUCAGUUAAAAGAAGAUCAACGCCUACUUUCUGAUAAGGUCUCUGAGGACUAGGAUGUGGAUGCAGUGGCUCCUUAGGGUUGCUAGGUUAGCAUAUUUGACAAGAAGACACCAAAUCAUUUCUUGAUUCAUCCUGGGCCAAAACAUUACUUGCCGCGCCCUUCUCUUACACUUUUCAAUACCUAGGUGGCCUUCAUGAAUCUUCCCAAGCAUUUCUUUUUGGAGACUUUUAGGAAUCACAAUUCUGCUACCUUUGUACAAUAUCCCAUCCACAUCAGAAAGUUCUGACCUGUGGUUCCAAUAUUCUUGUACUUCUAAGAGACAGUCAUGCUUAUUAUCUGGCCAUCCAUCCAUUGCCACUAGUAUUACCUGACUGAGAAUUUUGUCCUAUUACAUACCCCGUGGGUAUCUUGUGACUGUCACAGGACCAUGAUGUAACUGAGGCUCUGCUGGGCAUGAUGUAAUGCUCUUGUGAUGGUGGAGUGAUGUAAUUUUCCCGCCAGUGAGAGGUCAUGUGAUGGCCUACUUCAACAGGUAUAAAAGGAGCACGCCUCGCUGUGACACAGGCUUAAUUCGUCAGUGACUCCAUUCUGCUGCGUAUUUGAUUUCUUGAUAUAGUUUCAUUUUAAAGUGGAGUUUUGAUUUCUACUGUAAGAAUCGUUGUGCCGGCAGUUCUGAAAAUCACUGCCAGUCUAGUCCAGUUGGAGAGUGAAGAAUUUAUUGAAGUACGGAAAACCCGAAGGAUCAAGAAAAGUUGGUGUCAUCAGCGGUAAAACAGGUUCGACCUUAUUUAAUCUUUGUUCAAGGAAUUACUAACCUGCGUCUGAGAUAGCUCCUGCAUUGCUAUAAGAGCAGAAAGAGUUGGAUGUAGCGUUUCGCCAAGGAAAGGUCAGUGCCUUUAAGCCAUUUUAUUUCCUUCGUUGUAAAUCCUUCGGGGAAGGCAUAUUUCGGCUGGAAUCAGCAGUAAUGUCACGUCGUCGAAGAAUUCGUUACUUCUAGAAAAAUCUCUCCUAAUUGACUGUGUAAAUCAUUUGGACUUUUGCAUUUACUACUUUUAAGAACUGUGUUUGCGUUUCUCGUUUUAAGAACUGUUCGAGCUGCCGUGUAGCAGUUCACUUCCAGUUAAGUUAGUCGUUUGUUUAAUUUUGGUUUUUUUUUAGCAGUGUUUAAUAAAGGUUUUAUUUGUUUAUAAAAAAAAACAGUCUCAAUUCUAUAUUCAUUGUUGCUGAAUCAUAACAGUCCUUCUCUGUCUCAAGACGCAGCAGUUCCAACUUUUCAGGAGCAACAGGUACCAUCUCAAUGAUCAUAUCAACAAAUGCCUGAACAUCAACAGCGUCUCUUUGACUGACUUUUGUUGUUGGACAGUCUCUGGAAAGUGUGUCAGCUGUGUACAUGAAUUUUCCAGGUCCGAUUCUACAAAUACUUGUCUGUCAGUACUGAUGAACCGUACAUCCUCUGAUAACCACCAUCCUGUCAAAAUCUGGCAUCUAAUAUGAUUAUGUCGCUAAUCAAUGAUGCCUAGCUGUUGUUUAUUGACAACAGCUCUGCUUCAGUACUGUAACAGACACCAAUAGCUCUGCCACAAUUAUUCUCAGCACCGGCACGUCAGAAUGUUGCAACCUCAGCCCCCUACUCGACUCCCUAUGCACUCAUGACAGCAUAGUCAGGUUCUGCUCUGACUCCAUCUAUAAGUUUGCAGACGAAACCAAUGUAGUGGACCAAUUCUCGAUGAGUUGGGAUGAUGGCCAAGGAGACAGAGCACAAAGAUGAGACAAUCUGCAGACGCUGGAAGUGUGGUGCAGGGAGGUAGAACAUCUACUGACUGGGUGUCAUGACAACAACCUUUCUGUCACUGUCAGCAAAUGAGCUUGUCACUGACUUCAGGAAGGGGCCGUUCACAUGCUCCUGCUUAUAUCAACAGUGCUGAGGUUUCAAGUUUCCAGGAGUGAACGUCACCAAAGGCCUGUCCUAGUCUAACCACGUUGAUGUCAUGGACAAGAAAUGUUACCAACUCGUUUAUUUCUCCUGGGGGAUAAAGAAAUUUGGCACGUCUCCUAUGACCCUCACAAAUUUUAUUGACACACCACAAAAAGCACCCUAUCCUGAUGCAUUACAGCUUGGGAUGGCAACUGCUCUGCCCAAGAUCACAAAAAACUGCAAGGAGCUAGGGAGUAAACACAAGGAAAUCUCCAGAUGCUGGAAAUUCAAACAACACACACACAAAAUGCUGGUGGAACACAGCAGGCCAGGCAGCAUCUAUAGGGAGAUACUAAGAGUAUCUUUCCUCUCGGUUAGUCCUGAUGAAGGGUCUCGGCCCGAAACGUCGACAGUGCUUCUCCCUAUAGAUGCUGCCUGGCCUGCUGUGUUCCACUAGCAUUUUGUGUGUGAAGGAGCUCAGGACACAGCUCAACACAUCAUGGAAACCAGCCUCCCCUUCACAGACUGUCCACACUUCCCACAACCUCAGUAAAACAGCCAGUAUUAGCAAAGGUCCCAUCCGUCCCAGACAUUCUCUCGUCACUCCCCUCCCAAAAGGCAGAAGACACAGAAGCUUGAAAGCAUGUACCACCAGGCCCAGAACUGUUAUAAGACUAUUGAAUGUACAAUAAGAAGGAUUCUUAAUCUCAAAAUCUACUUCGCUGUGACUUUGCACCUUGCAGUCUACCUGAAUCGCACUUUUGCUGUAUGAAAACCUUUAUUCUGCACUCUGCUAUUCCUUGUUUUACCUUGUACAAUUUUACACUGUUGUAAUGAAUUGAUCUGAAUGGACAAUAUGCAAGACAAGCUUUUCACCCUACCUCGGUACAUACGACAACUGGCACCGCAGACAGCACAGCAAUUAGUGUGACGCUAAUGCAGCUUGGGGCGUUCCAGAAUUUGCAGUUCAAUUCCGGCACCAUCUGUCAGGAGUUUGAACAUACACCCCGUGAACUGCGCGGGUUUCCUCUGGUAGCUCCAGUUCUUUUCCCCACAUCCCAAAGAUGUACUGGUUAGUAAGUUAAUCGAUCAUUGGAAAUUGUCCUGUGAUUAGGCUAAUGUCAAAUAGUUAAGUUGCUGGGUGGUGCAGCUCGUUCCACACGGCAUCUCUGAAUAAAUUUAAAAAAUAAUAAACCAAUUUACCAAGUUCAAUUACACUGCUCAAACAUUUAUCCAGGUCACCUCUUGACACUCUGGGAGCUGCCGUAUCAGCCUUUUUAUACUCAUUUCUUCCUCCUCCUCACUCUUCGACAAUCCCAUGAGGUGGAUUCGACAGUGGCUGAGGAGGCCAAUAUGGGACCUGCAGAUUUCCAUGGAUGGUGCAGGAGGUGCUUGAUAGGAUGGACUGGUGGUGUUACUUGAGAGGUACUACUCCAUUAGAACUUUACACUAGACUUCUGAAUGUUCCUACUGAAUGAAUAUAAGGUACUCUGCGCCAUGCAAAUGUUCCUCCUUCAGUCAAAAAGCUUAUGACCAAGGAUCCCCAUGCACCUACUAGGAUUUUUUUUUCCCACAAGGAGUCUAUAAAAACAUCCUUGAACUGUUACCUCUAUCCACCUGAUAAUCAACUUGCCAUGACAGAGCUUGUUUCGGAGAUUUGGUGUUAGACAUGUGAACAACAUGGCGUACUCCUUGGAGACGCUGGGUGUAAUCAGGAUCCCAAUACUGGAGAUGCUGGUGUGCGUAAGGACACAAGCAAUGGUUGGCUUAUUUUGUCUGUGCAUUUGGAAGCUUUUGCAGAGAGAACAUUGGUAUCUCUCCAGUGCUUUGAAGUUCCUGAUGUAGCUAGUCUAGAUCUUUGGUGCAUUCAGUAGGACAGAGAUUCCUGCAGCCCUGUGGACUACAAAUUUCUGCUAGGUGUCAGGUCUUUACCUUUAAACUGUCUUUUCCUCAAAUGAUCCAAGGACAAAGGUGCAUUUCAUCACUAAUACCUACCAGUGUAAUUAGUAAAAAAAUGUAAGUUAGUUAUUAAAGGAAAACUGUUUCUCAUUUCACCUGUUUUGUGCUGAACAAAGUGUGAAUUGCACAAUGAAACAAUAAAACUCUUGGAGUUGCCUUGACCUUUUAACGUUCCAUCAUCUCCAGUUUAAAAUGCCUAACUACUCUGUUGUGUAAGGCAAUAUUUGUAAGUGUUGUGCCAGAGAAUUCUGGAGGCAAACUGGGAGUUCUAUGUACUCUAAGCAUCAAAUAAUGUGCAGGCCAAAAUGAUUUUAAAUCAUUUAUGUCAGAGCAGCAAAGAUUUUCAAAGUUGCUCUUGCAAAACACACAAAAUGCUGCAGGUACUCAGCUGGGCAGGCAGCAUCUAUGGGAAAAAAUGCAGUGGACAUUUCGGGCCGAGACCCUUCGUCAGUCCUACUGAAGGGUUUCGGCCUGAAACGUCAGCUGUACUUUUUUCCACAGAAACCACGAGGCCUGCUGAGUUCCUCCAGCAUUUUGUGUGUUGCUUGGGUUUCCAAUGUCGGCAGAUUUUCUCUUGUUUGUGAAAGUUGCUCUUGACUACUUUUUAUA